UACGUAGGGGGCAAGCGUUGUCCGGAAUCAUUGGGCGUAAAGGGCCCGUAGGCGGUUCGUCACGUCGGGAGUGAAAACUCGGAGCUUAACUCCGAGCCUGCUUCCGAUACGGGCAGACUAGAGGUAGGCAGGGGAGAGCGGAACUCCUGGUGUAGCGGUGGAAUGCGCAGAUAUCAGGAAGAACACCGGUGGCGAAGGCGGCUCUCUGGGCCUUACCUGACGCUGAGGAGCGAAAGCGUGGGUAGCGAACAGG
rnacentral:rRNA from 1 species